ensembl:lncRNA
UAGAGGGAUGGAGGUGAAGGUAAAGGGAUGGAGGUGAAGGGAUAAAGGUAGAGGGAUGGAGGUGAAGGUAGAGGGAUGGAGGUGAAGGUAGAGGGAUGGAGGUGAAGGUGGAGGGAUGGAGGUGAAGGUAGAGGGAUGGAGGUGAAGGGAUGAAGGUAGAGGGAUGGAGGUGAAGGUAGAGGGAUGGAGGUGAAGGGAUGAAGGUGAAGGUGGAGGAAUGAAGGUGAAGGGAUGAAAGUAGAGCGAUGGAGGUGAAUGUGGAGGGAUGGAGGUGAAGGGAUGAAGGUAGAGGGAUGGAGGUGAAGGUGGAGGAAUGGAGGUGAAGGUGGAGCAAUGGAGAUGAAAGUGGUGGGAUGAAGGUGAAGGUAGAGGGAUGGAGGUGAAGGGAUGAAGGGAGGGAUGGAGGUGAAUGGAUGAGGGUAGAGGGAUGGAGGUGAAGGUAGAGGGAUGGAGGUGAAGGUAGCGGCAUGG